CACGAAAGCUAUAACGCAAGCAAUUGGAAUUAUGAUUUGCACCAAUAUAAUAGUAAAUCUGUUUUUAUUGCUAACUGAUAUGUAUUAUAUCCUGCACACCCCUGCUUUCGAUGUAAGCACAAAACAUUUAGUUGCAUUGUGCUUGCGCUGCAAUUGUGCAUUUAGUGGAGUAUUUCACGCUAACACUGUAUAUCGACAAGACCAAUGUAUUCCUUUAACAUAGCCCAUCCAUUUACGUACUUGGUACCGCUUGCUCUGUGGUAAAUCCCCCUGUUUAACAUUUCCCGCACAUUGUCACUAAUGAUGUAUUAUCACGUAAUGCUAUUUACUGAGGCUUAAAUCUUUUGCGAAAAAUUUCCGCACAUAUAGAUCCAAUAUUUGCCAUGUUAAAAAAGGAUCGAAAUGUUUGAGUUAUGGUAGAGUAAAUAAUACGAUGCCACAUAUCGGCGCGCAGUCCACAUGUUUACUUUUACUAGAGCGCUUAUUUCAGCUUUCCUUUUAGUAAUAGAGAAGUCACUGGUCCUGUUAAGUCAAAAGUGAUGUCCCUUUUUGACUAGUCUUUAUCAUGUCGAAGACGUGCUAUAGGCUAUGUUUCAUAUGGCCAGACGGGACCCUUAAACUGUGGUUGUUAUAGGAUUUCCUGAUUUCGCUGUGAUAGACCCCUAAAAAGUCAUCCCAACUAUCUGCAGGUAUAUAUAUAUAUGGGGAUAGCCUUUGAUAAUUACUAUGUGACGGCCGCAGACAUCCGCUUAUCGCCGGUAGUCAUACCCUAACGAUUAUGUAAUAUGGAUGAAAUCGAUGUAUGCGUAAUGACUGAUGACAAAGGAACCAAGAAAGUUUCACAACCCGGGACCACACCUGAUCAACCCGGAAUUCCUGGACGACCGGAUAUCUGUCAAUACCCACACUCAGGUAUAGAAAUAAUUCAGUGCAAGCAAAAUGCUGAAGACGGAUCGCGAAUCACUGCUGCAUUUUCUUCAACUAUGUCGAUUGCAAGAAAUUACUGAUAAUUUUUAAGAAUCGUCAUAAUUUAGACAAAAUAGUGAUAUCUCUCCAAGUAAACAUUGUACCGUUUUAAUUUCUCCGUGAUAAAGAGAGACGAGCUUCAUACAGCUGAUCGCCUUCGCAAGGAAAUGAACUAAUAACGAAACUUUAUUAAACAGACAGCCUGGUUUCAUACGCAGAGUACUGACCUGACACAGCUCUCUGGCAGAAACCGUUUGCAGGAUUUUCAAAGCUUUCCAACAGCUCAGAAAGUCAGUUAAAUUGUUUUCGGUUCGUUUUAUUAUUGCAAAUUUGCUGUUUCUCCAUUCAUUAUUAGACAGUUUGGCUUUAAAGAAUCGUAGUAUACGUGGAACAACAGCAGACGGUGCUCGAGCAGACACCUUAGGGAACAAGAACAAUAAUGUGGAAAAAAAAAAUGCCUGCAUAUAACUACAUAUAUGAACUGGACAUGCUACUGUAACUCGUUAAAAAUAAUCCAGCGUACAACGGUUGUCAAUGGGAACAAAUCAAUGCAUUAUUAUUUUAUUGUUAUAAAAUUAUUGCAUGGCAGAUGGCACGAAACGACCUUCGAGGGAAGUGAUGUAGGUAUAUGAAUCUCUUCUUUUUAUAGAAUCUUACUGCUGAGAUUUUUGACGCAGUGCCCCACACGAGGGAUCACAAUACUUGCUAACUAGAGCCAAUAUUUAGACAUUCACAAUUGAAAUUCAUCAGUGUCUAGUCAUGCCGGCUUCUUCCUCUACCCUAUGGGGAGAUUCUGUUCUCGUAUAUCGUUUCACCCGUUCAAUGUAAAUGAUUAUAGCUAAAAUGCAAUUAUACGAUACGCUAAUACAUAUAUUGAUAUAUAUACACACAAUACGUACGAGUGGAUCUACAUAGAUAGAGUGCGACGAUUCCCACAAAUCUUUUGCGGUUAGAUGAUUUGAGUCAGUAGUUUGUUGGACCAGAUCGGCUAGUAGAAUUUACUUAGUAAAUGGUCUAAAAUUGAGUUUAUCGCUUGAGAUUAAAUGAUGAUCUCGCUGAAUAGAUGGCGCGCUGGAUUCGAACGGACGGGUAAAAAUAAUCAAACGUAAAACUAGUAAAUGGUUGGACUUGUUGAACCAUACAUGAUAAGACGACUAGACAAAGGGCACGCGGAAAGGGGAGGCAAGCUACGUACCAGUUGAAUUUAUACUGUGUGUGUGCUACAACUUAUCCGAACCCUUUCGUUUGUUACAGAUUGCUAAUAUUACCAUUCCUAUGAAAUUAUGUCACGCUAAGGAAACUGAGAUUAAUGUGUAGCUGAUCUUAGAAGAGAAGCUCGUAUGUUGUGAUGUACUCUCGAAAAUUCAAAUUGUCAAUGGCGGAAAAUACAGUUAAAACGAAGCAGUGUUAAAGACGUAUACUAGACAGGUAAGACAUCGUAAUGUUUUAUCUAGCUCUCGCUCACAGGUAAACGUAUAUAUAUAUAUAUAUAUGCAUACCAGUAUAGUUCCAUAACCUUUUCUAUAUAUUGGCAAGUGCGAAUGACCUUGAUGUACCUAAUACGAUAAUAUUUGUUAUAAAAUAUAUUCAGUAUGAGCAGACUUAUGGGUAAUAGAUGCCUGGGAAAAUGGCAGGACGCUCCUAGCCAGCGGCAGUAAGCGAAUUAGCUUGUUAUAAACUUAACAGCUUAAUGGUGCUAGACAGAAAUGUAUGUCACGUGCACAAGACAGGCAACCAUACGUAUGGCACCAAUAAAGGCUUACGUGCAGAACUCCAUUAUAUUCAUGGUGUUCAGGCAAAUCGUAUCCGGCAACUUCCGAAACGAGUUGUGCGCUUGUCAUUACAAACGUACAAUAGAGAUCAAGAGGCGUGUUGUUAACUACAAACACAGAAUCUGGUGAUAGCCUAAUUAUAAUUACAGACGAAGCAAAUACACACAUGGUAGCUGUACUACACAUUAAAUUGUGUCCCGCUAGCAUUCAAGCGAUUCCGGCGCUGUGUUUCUACAGUUCAAUAUUUAGUUUUCAUCUAAUAACCAGUACUGAAUAACUUUCCUCCUAUUAGCUCCAUCAUAACGAUAUGGAUGGUUUUCCCGUAUGCUUGACUUUCCCGUAUGCUUUCUGCCAUACGGUCGAAGGCCUCACUCAAUGUACAUUUAGAAAUAACCCGUUUUCUAUCGUACCUCACCUACACCUGACUGAGCUUUAACUAACGUAGUAAAACGACACAAGUACGUACCACUAGAUAUAUUAGCAGCUAGUACAUAAGCUCUUAUUUAGGCCUAAUGGUACCACUAUUUAUUAAUGAAAAGGCAUACAUACAUAUGAAUGUGCUUAGCAUCAAGCUCGUUCUAUUUAUCUUUAGUGGCUCAUAGGUGACCACAAUCAAAUCCGUUUAUUUCAACAAUUUAUUUCAUUAUUUCGAGGAACUCCCGCAGAGUGAGUUCAAUUAUUUCUUUUAUCCUGAUCCCAUUACCCUAACUUACUACCGCCUAGGAUCGCUCCAAAAAGUUCACUAGCUGUUCACAACACCGAUAACAACAAGUAUGUGCGAUCAAAGAAUCUAGAUAUUUGUUAUAUUUCCCUCGGUAUUUGGAUACCGUGUCUUAUCGAUCAGUUGUAAAGCUCGCCGCCGCUUCGACCGACGCUUUUCGUCAAUCACGUACCGCAAGCGAGCGAUUUUAGAAGACCAACAUAAAGGGUUUUUCGGGUACAGUUUCCGCAUUAAUAGUUCUCCUUCGAUUGUACGGUAGUAUCAACUUCACUGACAACUCUACGGCCAACUUCCGGUGAUGUACGUUACCGUUUACAAUUGCCCGAUGGUGGCUGAUUUACACGUAUUCAUGUUAUUAUCUGUACUGAAAAAGUAGAAAACUAAAAGGAAGAAGAAGAACGUCUAUAGUGCGAUACUUCUCGUUCAUGCAUGGUCUGCCCCGAACUGACAAAUAAUAGAACAAAUAUAUAUAUAUAUAUAUAUAUAUAUAUAUAUAUAUAUAAUACGAGAAAGCAGCCGGCAAGUACGCUAGACAAGUUGACUUAACCUUUAAAAUAGCUGUUAAUUUUAUGUCGUUAGAUUAUGACUAUUCUCUGCAAACACUUUCCUUUCUCUAGUUACUACUGUAGGAAGAUACAUAAAUAGACAGGAAGGAUACAGAGACUGUAUAGCGAAAUAGUAGUGUUUAUUUGUGAGACUGUGUGUGCGUGAAGAAAAAGAGAGAUCGACUCAACGGGAUUGAGAAUAUUUAAGAACAAACACACAAAUGUAAUGCUGAGGUAUAAUGAAUAACAUUCGUUGGAUAAUAAUUUUCUUCAUUGGGAAUUUAAUCUUUAGGUUUUUCUUCAUAGGAUAUUCUUAUCCAUAAGCUACAACCUUUCCAGUACAUUGUAUCUGGUAUAGAGAAGUGUUGCUAACUAAGAAGAAUACAUAAACUUACAUGUGAAAAAAAUUUGUGUUAACUAUUUUCGUGUUUAAUCUUCAAUACUAUUAACGCACCCCCCAUACAUAUUGCGGAAGAGCUUCUCCUUUUAAUAUUCGUGUUGUUUUUAAUAAGUGAAAUUAUGAAAUAUUCGCCAAUCUUCACCUUUUUCAACUCUGUAAUCGAGCUUGAUCUGAGCUCUUCUACGAUUCCUCUAGAGCAAAGCGUGAGCUUGAACCACCGUAAAAUAAA